rnacentral:rRNA from 1 species
UAAAUUGAGAGUUUGAUCCUGGCUCAGGAUAAACGCUGGCGGCGUGCAUAACACAUGCAAGUCGAACGAUGAAACUUAGAUGAUUUCUUCGGAAUGAACUUAAGUGGAUUAGUGGCGAACGGGUGAGUAACACGUGAGUAACCUGCCUUACACAAGGGGAUAGCCUCUGGAAACGGAGAA